AUUGAACGCUGGCGGCAGGCCUAACACAUGCAAGUCGAGCGGAUGAAGGAAGCUUGCUCCUGGAUUCAGCGGCGGACGGGUGAGUAAUGCCUAGGAAUCUGCCUGGUAGCGGGGGAUAACGUCCGGAAACGGGCGCUAAUACCGCAUACGUCCUGAGGGAGAAAGUGGGGGAUCUUCGGACCUCACGCUAUCAGAUGAGCCUAGGUCGGAUUAGCUAGUUGGUGGGGUAAAGGCCUACCAAGGCGACGAUCCGUAACUGGUCUGAGAGGAUGAUCAGUCACACUGGAACUGAGACACGGUCCAGACUCCUACGGGAGGCAGCAGUGGGGAAUAUUGGACAAUGGGCGAAAGCCUGAUCCAGCCAUGCCGCGUGUGUGAAGAAGGUCUUCGGAUUGUAAAGCACUUUAAGUUGGGAGGAAGGGCAGUAAGUUAAUACCUUGCUGUUUUGACGUUACCAACAGAAUAAGCACCGGCUAACUUCGUG
rnacentral:rRNA from 1 species